AAAAAAAUGGCUAGCUCCGACCCGAAUAAGCGUCCUCGACCCGGUCCAUGGCCACCUGCACCGGAAUCUGCAGCAAUGCCGCCUACUUCAUGGGCAAAGAAAACUGGGUUUCGCCCAAAAUUCUCUGGGGAGACGAAUGCUAGUGAUUCUGGGCAAAUUGGGAUACAGCAGCAGCAGUCGACCCGGAGGAGAGAGUCCGACCCGAAUUUGGAUCUUGAAGCGGGUCGGGUUAGGCCUAGACAGGAGAAGGUUAAUGGGGAAACUACAGGUGAGAAGGAUAAGCCACCUGUGAGGAAAAGGA
rnacentral:misc_RNA from 1 species